rnacentral:lncRNA from 1 species
CUAUAGAAUUCCGACUCUAUGACUUAAUGGUUGGAGAGAGACUACUCAUUUUCCCAGUCACUUGGUAUUUGUCACUAUUUUCUGAAGCUGAGCGGUCUGAGUUCAACAUGGUCUGGCAGAGCACCUGAGCUUAGAGCCUUUCCUCCAAGUUCUACACCACGGCAACCGGAAGCUGACUCCUGCCUUCUCUGCUUCAUCGGGAUUCUCAAACUCCACAUAUGCAUAGCCUUUGGAGAGGUGAGGAUGCAUCCUCUCGACAGGCAUGUCAAUCAUUUUGAUUUUCCCGUGGUUUGGAUUUGGAGCGGGAGCGCCGCCUGUUGUCAUGCCUGCGCCGAGAAGGGCUUGGGGAGCCGGAGGAGCUGCUAGAACUGGAGCUCCGGGACAUGCUGGAGCUUCCUGAGCGGCUGGAUGCAGAGGACGAGCUGGAGCCACUGCUUGAGCCUGUGCUGGUGCUGGAGCCCGAGCUGGAGGUUGAGCUGGACCUAGACCUGGUACUGCUGCUUCCGCUUGAAGCACUGCGUCUCUUCCGAGUCUUAUCUCUGCCACGAU